GGUUUCCCUCACCCUGGACGGGGACAGCUUCUACGUCAGUGGUGAGGGGCUGGGCUACAGCCAUGCUCUCUCUGCCAGUCAAAGUUCUGUGUUGCCUCCGUUGCUCUAAAGUUAUACCUAUUAAGCUGCAGCCCCGACUACCACCAGCUUGCUCAUCCCUCUACUCACACAGGGACCCGUCCCCUCACUCUCAUUUAUGCUUCACCUGUGAAUGGUGGUCCUGGGACAGCCACUGCUGGAGCCCGGGUGAGCCUGGAAGCUCCUCCCACUCUGUCCCUCCCUGAUGACAGCCCUCUCCACAGCUCCCUAGCCGGCCACCACAUCCCUGCAUACUUGAUCAUCACCUGUGCCACCAGAAGCCACCACAGGUAUCUGGGGGUGCCUUUUCCUUCCCAAGAGAAGCUCU